rnacentral:rRNA from 1 species
AAUGCGUGACCAACCUGCCCCAUGUUCCGGAAUNNCUCCUGGAAACGGGUGGUAAUGCCGGGUGUUCCACAUGACCGCAUGGGAUUGUGGGAAAGGGUUNACCGACAUGGGAUGGGGUCGCGUCCUAUCAGCUUGUUGGCGGGGCAACGGCCCACCAAGGCUUUGACGGGUAGCCGGCCUGAGAGGGUGACCGGCCUCAUUGGGACUGAGAUACGGCCCAGACUCCUACGGGAGGCAGCAGUGGGGAAUAUUGCACAAUGGGCGAAAGCCUGAUGCAGCGACGCCGCGUGCGGGAUGAAGGCCUUCGGGUUGUAAACCGCUUUUGUUAGGGAGCAAGCGAGAGUGAGUGUACCUUUCGAAUAAGCACCGGCUAACUACGUGCCAGCAGCCGCGGUAAUACGUAGGGUGCAAGCGUUAUCCGGAUUUAUUGGGCGUAAAGAGCUCGUAGGCGGUUCGUCGCGUCUGGUGUGAAAGCCCGCAGCUUAACUGCGGGUCUGCGCCGGAUACGGGCGGGCUUGAGUGCGGUAGGGGAGACUGGAAUUCCCGGUGUAACGGUGGAAUGUGUAGAUAUCGGGAAGAACACCAAUGGCGAAGGCAGGUCUCUGGGCCGUUACUGACGCUGAGGAGCGAAAGCGUGGGGAGCGAACAGGAUUAGAUACCCUGGUAGUCCACGCCGUAAACGGUGGAUGCUGGAUGUGGGGCCCAUUCCACGGGUUCCGCGUCGGAGCUAACGCGUUAAGCAUCCCGCCUGGGGNAGUACGGCCGCAAGGCUAAAACUCAAAGAAAUUGACGGGGGCCCGCACAAGCGGCGGAGCAUGCGGAUUAAUUCGAUGCAACGCGAAGAACCUUACCUGGGCUUGACAUGUUCCGGAUCGCGGCAGAGAUGUCGUUUCCCUUCGGGGCCGGUUCACAGGUGGUGCAUGGUCGUCGUCAGCUCGUGUCGUGAGAUGUUGGGUUAAGUCCCGCAACGAGCGCAACCCUCGCCUUGUGUUGCCAGCGGGUUAUGCCGGGAACUCACAAGGGACCGCCGGGGUCAACUCGGAGGAAGGUGGGGAUGACGUCAGAUCAUCAUGCCCCUUACGUCCAGGGCUUCACGCAUGCUACAAUGGCCGGUACAACGGGAUGCGACAUGGUGACAUGGAGCGGAUCCCUUAAAACCGGUCUCAGUUCGGAUUGGAGUCUGCAACCCGACUCCANGAAGGCGGAGUCGCUAGUAAUCGCGGAUCAG